ensembl:lncRNA
CUAUGGGGUGGUUAUGGGGUGGCUAUGGGUCCCAUGGGGUGGUUAUGGGGUGGCUGUGGGGUGGUUAUGGGUCCCAUGGGGGGGUUAUGGGGUGGUUAUGGGUCCCAUGGGGGGGUUAUGGGGUAGCUAUGGGUCCCAUAUAGGUCCUAUGGGGUGGCUAUGGGUUCCAUGGGGGUUAUGGGGUGGCUAUGGGUCCCAUAUAGGUCCUAUGGGGUGGCUGUGGGUCCCAUGGGGGGGUUAUGGGGUGGCUGUGGGUCCUAUGGGGUGGCUGUGGGUCCCAUGGGGGGUUAUGGGUCCCAUGGGGUGGUUAUGGGGUGGCUGUGGGUCCCAUGGGGGGGUUGUGGGUCCCAUGGGGGGGUUAUGGGGUGGCUAUGGGUCCCAUAUGGGUCCCAUGGGGGUUAUGGGGUCCCUAUGGGGUCCCUAUGGGGUCCUUAUGGGGUUAUGGGAUCCCUAUGGGGUCCCUAUGGGGUCCUUAUGGGGUUAUGGGGUUCUAUAGGGUCCUUAUGGGGUCCUUAUGGGGUUAUGGGGUCACUAUGGGGUCUCUAUGGGGUCCUUAUGGGUUUAUGGGGUCACUAUGGGGUCCCUAUGGGGUCCUUAUGGGGUUAUGGGGUCACUAUGGGGUCCCUAUGGGGUCCUUAUGGGGUUAUGGGGUCACUAUGGGGUCCUUAUGGGGUUAUGGGGUCACUAUGGUGUCCUUAUGGGGUCCUUAUAGGGUUAUGGGGUCACUAUGGGGUCCCUAUGGGGUCCUUAUGGGGUUAUAGGGUNNNNNNNNNNNNNNUAUGGGGUCCUUAUGGGGUUAUGGGGUCACUAUGGGGUCCCUAUGGGGUCCUUAUGGGGUUAUGAGGUUAUGGGGUCACUAUGGGGUCCUUAUGGGGUUAUGGGGUCACUAUGGGGUCCCUAUGGGGUCCUUAUGGGGUUAUGGGGUCCCUAUGGGGUCCUUAUGGGGUCCUAAUGGGGUUAUGGGGUCCUAUAGGGGCUAUAUGGGGUUAUGGGGUCACUAUGGGGUCCCUAUGGGGUCCUUAUGUGGUUAUGGGGUCACUAUGGGGUCACUAUGGGGUCAUUUUUGGGGUUUCUUAAUGGGAUUUGAUCUUUAUUAAUGGGGUUUUGGGUAUAUAUGGGAUUUAUGGGGUUAUUUAUGGGAUUUAUGGGGUUAUUUAUGGGAUUUAUGGGGUAUAUAUGGGAUUUAUGGGGUUAUUUAUGGGAUUUAUGGGGUUAUUAAUGGGAUUUAUGGGGUUAUUUAUGGGAUUUAUGGGGUUAUUUAUGGGAUUUAUGGGGUUAUUUAUGGGAUUUAUGGGGUUAUUUAUGGGAUUUAUGGGGUUAUUGAUGGGAUUUAUGGGGUUAUUGAUGGGAUUUUUGGGGUUAUUAAUGGGAUUUAUGGGGUAUAUAUGGGAUUUAUGGGGUUAUUAAUGGGAUUUAUGGGGUUAUUUAUGGGAUUUAUGGGGUUAUUUAUGGGAUUUUGGGGUUUCUUUGUGGGAUUUUGGGGUUUCUUUAUGGGAUUUUGACAUUUACUUAUGGGGUUUGGGUUUAUUAAUGGGGUUUGGGGUAUAUAUGGGAUUUAUGGGAUUUAUUCAUGGGAUAUAUGGGAUUUAUUGAUGGGAUUUAUGGGAUUUGGGGGUUUAUUUAUGGGAUUUUGGGGGUUUCUUUAUGGGAUUUUGGGGUUUCUUUAUGGGAUUUUGGGGUUUCUUUAUGGGGUUUGGGGUAUAUAUGGGAUUUAUGGGAUUAUUUAUGGGAAUUAUGGGGUUUAUUUAUGGGAUUUAUGGGAUUUUGGGGGUUUCUUUAUGGGAUUUUGGCAUUUACUUAUGGGGUUUGGGGGUUUAU